CUUCCCUCUCCCGCACAUCUCUCUCCCAUCCUCCCCGUCCGCCGCCGCCACACCAUCGUCGCCGCCUACCCUCGGCGGGCGGCCCACCCCCUCCUCCUUCUCCGUCGUGGCGCGGUGCUCCACGGCAACCUCUCUCUGGUCUGGUCCGGCUUGAGCCCCUUCGCUCUGACCCCGACCCCCCUUCUUCCAAGCCAGCGCGGCCACCAUCGACGGCGAGGGCCGCAGCAGGAGCAGGAGCACGGCGGGAAGGAGGAGAACGACCAGGGGACUUCGAGCCGCCAUUUGUCGCCGGCCGUCGACACCUCCUGCUCGACCACACAGCGGGAGCACCGGACCGUUGUCCUUGUGUUCGUGCUCCUCCAGGAAGAAGACGACCCAAGGAGUUCUCCUCCUCAAGGAGUCAACCGUCCUCGAUCUACUGCUCCUCCUACGUCUUCUGCGAUGGCUUCCUCGCGUGUCGACGCUGGUUGAGAUGCUUAUUCGUCCAUUUUCACCGGUGCCUCCUUCGAUCUGCCCCUCUCGCUUGUCCAUUCAUGGAUUUAUAGGUGUUCUUCGGCUGAAAUUAGGCUGCUCCUGCCAUGUCUAUCAGUGAAAUGCCUCCUUCCAUGAUAAAGCAGCCUACUCGUAGGUACAAAUCUGGGUGUCGAUUCUGCCUCACCUUUCUAGCCGGCAGUGGUUCGGUUUGCUGCAGGUUCUCUCAGUGUUCAGGUAAGCGCCGCCAUAAACGCCAACGUGCCAAAAAGACAAGGGGUCGAGAUCCAUGUAGCGAACCAUGUCUUUGUGAGAGGACAGUAACAAGAGAUUGUUCUUCGCAUGUUAAACUGAACUCUUACGCAUAGGACCAAUAUGGUGCAAACAACCAUCGCUCACUAUCAACAAGCGCAGGUUCAUGUGACGUGCCAUGUGAGAAGUUGAACGACAAGACAGUCAAGUGAAGUUAUCAAAUAGUAUGCUUUAGUUGAACUGUAUAGGUUCCUUAUCUCUCACUGGCGCUCUGGCUUGAUUUUGUUGUCUAACUCUACUCUCUGUAUCUAAAUUAAUGUGAAUUGAUCGUCCUGCCUUAGCUUUGGAACAAAGAAAUGUUUCCCUUUUAUUAUGAGCCUCCAGGUCAUUUGUUCUACUGAUAAAAUAUUUCCUACUCACCUUGCUUUUGGUAUA